rnacentral:rRNA from 1 species
GUCUGCGGCCAUGCCACCCUGAACGUGCCCGAUCCCAUCUGAUCUCGGAAGCUCAGCAGGGUCGGGCCUGGUUAGUACUUGGAUGGGAGACCACCUAGGAAGACCAGGUGCUGUAGGCG